AACGAACGCUGGCGGCAUGCCUAACACAUGCAAGUCGAACGAGACCUUCGGGUCUAGUGGCGCACGGGUGCGUAACGCGUGGGAACCUGCCCUUAGGUUCGGAAUAACUCCCCGAAAGGGGUGCUAAUACCGGAUAAUGUCUUCGGACCAAAGAUUUAUCGCCUUUGGAUGGGCCCGCGUUGGAUUAGCUAGUUGGUAGGGUAAAAGCCUACCAAGGCGACGAUCCAUAGCUGGUCUGAGAGGAUGAUCAGCCACACUGGGACUGAGACACGGCCCAGAAUCCUACGGGAGGGAGCAGUGGGGAAUAUUGGACAAUGGGCGAAAGCCUGAUCAAGCAAUGCCGCGGGAGUGAUGAAGGCCUUAGGGUUGUAAAGCUCUUUUACCCGGGAUGAUAAUGACAGUACCGGGAGAAUAAGCUCCGGCUAACUCCGUG
rnacentral:rRNA from 1 species